CAGCCGCCACGGUAAUACAGAGGGUGCAAGCGUUAAUCGGAAUUACUGGGCGUAAAGCGCGCGUAGGUGGUUCGCCAAGUUGGAUGUGAAAUCCCCGGGCUCAACCUGGGAACUGCAUCCAAAACUGGCGAGCUAGAGUAUGGUAGAGGGUGGUGGAAUUUCCUGUGUAGCGGUGAAAUGCGUAGAUAUAGGAAGGAACAUCAGUGGCGAAGGCGACCACCUGGACUGAUACUGACACUGAGGUGCGAAAGCGUGGGGAGCAAACAAGAUUAGAUACCCCCGUAGUCCCUGUCUCUUAUAC
rnacentral:rRNA from 1 species